GACGAACGCUGGCGGCGCGCUUAACACAUGCAAGUCGAACGGAAAGGCCUGCUUUCCCUUGUGGAUUGCGGGUACUCGAGUGGCGAACGGGUGAGUAACACGUGAGUGAUCUGCCCCCAACUUGGGUAUAAGCCUGGGAAACUGGGUCUAAUUCCCGAUAGGACUGCAGGGUGGUGCCUGUGGUGGAAAACGAUUUUCUAGUGGUUGGGGAUGAGCUCGCGGCCUAUCAGCUUGUUGGUGGGGUAAUGGCCUACCAAGGCGGCGACGGGUAGCCGGCCUGAGAGGGUGGACGGCCACAUUGGGACUGAGAUACGGCCCAGACUCCUACGGGAGGCAGCAGUGGGGAAUAUUGCACAAUGGGCUGAAGCCUGAUGCAGCGACGCCGCGUGGGGGAUGACGGCCUUCGGGUUGUAAACUCCUUUCGACCGCGAGGAAGCCACCUGGUUGGAAGGGUGGUGACGGUAGUGGUAGAAGAAGCACCGGCUAACUACGUG
rnacentral:rRNA from 1 species